rnacentral:rRNA from 1 species
UGGGGAAUAUUGCACAAUGGGCGCAAGCCUGAUGCAGCCAUGCCGCGUGUAUGAAGAAGGCCUUCGGGUUGUAAAGUACUUUCAGCGGGGAGGAAGGCGAUAAGGUUAAUAACCUUGUCGAUUGACGUUACCCGCAGAAGAAGCACCGGCUAACUCCGUGCCAGCAGCCGCGGUACUACGGAGGGUGCAAGCGUUAAUCGGAAUUACUGGGCGUAAAGCGCACGCAGGCGGUCUGUCAAGUCGGAUGUGAAAUCCCCGGGCUCAACCUGGGAACUGCAUUCGAAACUGGCAGGCUAGAGUCUUGUAGAGGGGGGUAGAAUUCCAGGUGUAGCGGUGAAAUGCGUAGAGAUCUGGAGGAAUACCGGUGGCGAAGGCGGCCCCCUGGACAAAGACUGACGCUCAGGUGCGAAAGCGUGGGGAGCAAACA